AUUGCUUCUCGGCCUUUUGGCUAAGAUCAAGUGUAAUAUCUGUUCUUAUCAGUUUAAUAUCUGAUACGUCCUCUAUCCGAGGACAAUAUAUUAAAUGGAUUUUUGGAGCUUGGAGUUGGAAUAGGAGCUUGCUCCGUCCACUCCAUGCAUCGACCUGGUAUUGCAGUACCUCCAGGAAUGGUGCACCAAAA
rnacentral:snRNA from 1 species